CCUACGGGAGGCAGCAGUGAGGAAUAUUGGUCAAUGGACGAGAGUCUGAACCAGCCAAGUAGCGUGAAGGAUGACUGCCCUAUGGGUUGUAAACUUCUUUUAUAUGGGAAUAAAAUGUUCCACGUGUGGGAUUUUGUAUGUACCAUAUGAAUAAGGAUCGGCUAACUCCGUGCCAGCAGCCGCGGUAAUACGGAGGAUCCGAGCGUUAUCCGGAUUUAUUGGGUUUAAAGGGAGCGUAGGUGGAUUGUUAAGUCAGUUGUGAAAGUUUGCGGCUCAACCGUAAAAUUGCAGUUGAAACUGGCAGUCUUGAGUACAGUAGAGGUGGGCGGAAUUCGUGGUGUCGCGGUGAAAUGCUUAGAUAUCACGAAGAACUCCGAUUGCGAAGGCAGUUCACUGGACUGCAACUGACACUGAGGCUCGAAAGUGUGGGUAUCAAACAGGAUUAGAUACCCCAGUAGUC
rnacentral:rRNA from 1 species